rnacentral:lncRNA from 1 species
ACUCAUCAGUAAAUCGAAUACUAUUCUGUGACUGUCUCAUGAAUAGUGGUCUCAUAUCCUCCAGUCUCUCUCUGAUCAUUAGAUCCAUGACUGCUACCAUCACUCUCACUGUCGCUGGUCUCUGAAUCUGAGUCAACUGACUCCUGCACUCUCGAGGAUGCUGCAACUGCCAUUCCUUUUACUUUGCCUUUUUUAGCUCCCUCAGUACCCCUAUG